rnacentral:rRNA from 1 species
UACAGAGGUCUCAAGCGUUGUUCGGAUUCAUUGGGCGUAAAGGGUGCGUAGGUGGCGCCGUAAGUCAGUUGUGAAAUCUCGGGGCUCAACCCCGAAACUGCACUUGAUACUGCGGUGCUCGAGUACUGGAGAGGAGAUUGGAAUUUACGGUGUAGCAGUGAAAUGCGUAGAUAUCGUAAGGAAGACCAGUGGCGAAGGCGAAUCUCUGGACAGUUACUGACACUGAGGCACGAAGGCCAGGGGAGCAAACGGG